UGACUGCUAAUACCGCAUAAGCGCACAGUACCGCAUGGUACAGUGUGAAAAACUCCGGUGGUAUGAGAUGGACCCGCGUCUGAUUAGCUGGUUGUGGGGUAACGGCCUACCAAGGCGACGAUCAGUAGCCGACCUGAGAGGGUGACCGGCCACAUUGGGACUGAGACACGGCCCAGACUCCUACGGGAGGCAGCAGUGGGGGAUAUUGCACAAUGGAGGAAACUCUGAUGCCAGCAACGCCGCGUGAGGGAAGAAGGGUCUUCGGAUUGUAAACCUAAGUUGUCAGGGACGAACAAAUGACGGUACCUGAAAAGAAAGCUCCGGCUAACUACGUG
rnacentral:rRNA from 1 species